UGAAGUGUCCGCGAGGAUCAAGGUUGUACACAACUCUACAUCCCCCCGUCCCAUUGAAUUUCUCUUGGCAUUUCUCGACGUGCUUCUUAGAUCUGUUUCUGACAGCCAGUAAGGGAAAAAAAAUAGGCUUUUGCGUCACACGAACGGCAGCAGCAAUAGCAACAAGGAAAAUGGAGUGGGCAGGUGAAGUAUUCCCAAAGUUUUGAAACCAACACAUCCCUCCCAUUAUUUGGACACUGAAGGAAAUUUCCAAGGCACUUACAUAUAGGGAAGAAAGACAGGAGGUGACAGUGAACAAGGUAAAUUUGUCUGCUUAACUACCCCAGUCCUGUACCUGCAUUCUGUUUCUCAUGAAGUUCUUCAUCAGGCUGCAAAUGGAAGGAAAAUGGGUGCUGUUUG